GAAGCUCGGGGAGCAUCGAUACGCGCCGAUCGCGAACACUCGAAACAAUGGCCGGCAUUCAAGGCUAAUCGAAAUAAUCGGACCAGACCGAGGGAGCAACGGGAAUCUCGCCGUGACGUGCCAGACAACCUCACCGGUUAACAUUGGAACUGCCAAGCAAUUAAAUCAACUGUGGCAACUCACCAGCAAAGUACUUUGGCGUCAGCGGAUCAACACGAGAGGCAACAGAUGCUACACGACAAACAGGGAAGAAUCAUGUGGAGGCUGACGCGAUGCAGGUUUCACUAAACCUAGGAUGCAUCGCAAUUUGCUUCAGCGUCUGUAGGAGCUUGAGAAAGGGUCGCGGAUAUCCUCUAAACGAGUCGGUACGCGGCAGGCCCGGGCUCUUCGCGGGAGGCAAUAAAGAUCUGGAUUAAAGCUAGCUGCGAGUCGCGAAGCUGACAGCGACAGAUAAGGGAGAAGAGAACGGGGCGGCGCAACGCGGCGGUUCCGUUGGAUUAGAAAACAGGUUCGAGACGUUCGUAUUUCGCGGCUUCACCGGCACGCCGCGCCGCCUUUUUGAACCGCGGCCCGACGUGAAUGGCGCUGCGAGAGUCCUCAACGAACCGGACGAUCCGGCGACCGGAUCGCUGAUUCAGAUAUCGCGUUCCUGUUACGACCGGAUGCUUCGGGAUCAGGAGCCGCGCGGAUUUUUGUUUGAGCGAGGAAUGAGAAAUGAGAGGGGAAUCUCGAUUGUGAAUGAUGGAAUAAUGAAUUGCUCUGGGUGUUCCUUAUCGUGUUGUGCGUGAGCAAUAGAAGGAACUGUGAUCGACUGUCUCUGAUUUAUCUGUUUCCUCGUUGAUGGUGAUUUGUUUCCGUGUUAUAUCUUAUCUGUUUUGCGUGUAU